rnacentral:rRNA from 1 species
GACGAACGCUGGCGGCGUGCUUAACACAUGCAAGUCGAACGGAAAGGCCCUGCUUUUGUGGGGUGCUCGAGCGGCGAACGGGUGAGUAACACGUGAGUAACCUGCCCUUGACUUUGGGAUAACUUCAGGAAACUGGGGCUAAUACCGGAUAGGAGCUCCUGCUGCAUGGGGGGGGUUGGAAAGUUUCGGCGGUUGGGGAUGGACUCGCGGCUUAUCAGCUUGUUGGUGGGGUAGUGGCUUACCAAGGCUUUGACGGGUAGCCGGCCUGAGAGGGUGACCGGCCACAUUGGGCCUGCGAUACGGCCCAGACUCCUACGGGAGGCAGCAGUGGGGAAUAUUGCACAAUGGGCGGAAGCCUGAUGCAGCAACGCCGCGUGCGGGAUGCCGGCCUUCGGGUUGUAAACCGCUUUCGCCUGCGACGAAGCGCGAGUGACGGUAAUGGGUAAAGAAGCACCGGCUAACUACGUG